rnacentral:rRNA from 1 species
AUGGUGAACAGACUCCGGCCUCUUCUGACAGAACUUAUAUCUGAAAACCAGAGUGCUUUCAUCCGAGGACGGUUGAUCUCUGAUAAUUCGAUGAUUGCCUUCGAAUGCAUCAAUCAUAUACAAUCUGUAAGGCACUCGGGCCCCGAGCUGUGUGCGUACAAACUAGACCUGUCGAAGGCCUACGAUCGUGUGGACUGGGAUUUCUUGGAGCGGGCUUUGGCAAAAUGGGGUUUCUCUCCUGUGUGGAUCUCCCGUGUCAUGGCGUGUGUUUCAUCUGUGAAGUAUGCGGUGAAGUUUAAUGGGAAGCUGUUGGAUUCUUUUUCUCCCUCAAGAGGGCUCCGUCAAGGUGACCCGUUAUCUCCCUUCCUCUUCUUGUUUGUUGCUGAUGCUCUAUCCUCCUUGAUUCAUAAGGCGACGCAACAAGAUGGCCUUGAAGGGAUAAGAAUAUGCAGGGGGGCACCGGAAAUCUCCCACCUUCUGUUUGCAGAUGACUCCCUACUGUUCUUCCAGGCAACAGAACAGCAGACACUGUUAGUGAAAGGUUUGUUGAACACGUUUGCGAUGGCGACUGGUCAGCUGAUAAACCCGUCCAAAUGUUCCAUCCUCUUCUCAAACCAGUGCCAACAAGUUGUUGCUACGCAAGUUAAAAAUAUUCUGGAAGUUACCCAGGAAGCUUUUGAGCCCAAAUAUUUGGGCUUGUCGAUACCUGAAGACAGGAUGCACAAGGGGAAGUUUGUGUCAUUACAGGAACGGCUAAGGAAAGUUCUUAUCGACUGGAGUGAGCAAUACAUGUCUUCUGGCAACAAAGAGGUUCUGAUCAAGGCGGUAGCUCAGGCCAUUCCGACCUAUCUUAUGAGUAUUUUCAAAAUCCCCUACUCAGUGUGUGAUGACCUGACUCGUAUGAUUCGCCAAUACUGGUGGGGGUGGAGAACGGCAAAAGGAAAAUGGCUUGGAUGA